AGAAAAGUAUUUAAAAAAAUAAAAUCUAAUUUGCAUUUAGAAAUUGAUAUUCUCUAUCCUUUUCUA
rnacentral:tRNA from 1 species